rnacentral:rRNA from 1 species
GAUGAACGCUGGCGGCAUGCCUAAUACAUGCAAGUCGAGCGAACAGAUGAGGAUCUUGCUCCUCUGCCGUUGCCGACGGACGAGUAAGUCACACGUGGAUAACCUACCUAUAAGGCUGAAAUAACUGCAGGAACCCGGAACUCCGACCAGUUAAUAUAUUGAACCGCGUGGUUCAAUGGUAAAGGACGGUUUUGCUGUCCCUUAUAGCUGGUUCCGGGCCGCAUUAGCUAGUGGGUAAGGUAACGGCCUACCGAGGCAACGAUGCGUAGCCGACCUGAGAGGGUGAUCGGCCACACUGGAACUGAGACACGGUCCAGACUCCUACGGGAGGCAGCAGUUGGGAAUCUUGCGCAAUGGGCGAAAGCCUGACGGAGCAACGCCGCGUGAGUGAUGAAGGUAUUCGGAUUGUAAAACGCUGUUAUUAGGGAAGAACAGAUGUGUAAGUAACUAUGCACGUAUUGACGGUACCUAAAGAGAAAGCCACGGCUAACUACGUG